CUGGGACAUCAUUAAUGUUAUGUCUGACGCCCUUGUGAUUCCUGCUGUGGCAAGUCACACGUGCCAGGACUGUGUGGAAGUUCAGUACAUUUAGUAAGGCACUGUUCAGGUACAUCUUUAAGCUUCCCAUGGAUCCCAACAGCAACAGCUGGACACGUGUCCUCCCGGGGGAGCCCUGUUGUGCAUCAGGAUUGGCAUCUCGCACAUGGGCUGAGUAAAGCAGAUCAAUCCUGCCAACGCUGGAGACCUCAGAGGGCCCGAUGUUUCUGCUGCACCCCGGACCUGCUGCCCCACCUGUCCAGCGGUGGGUCAAGGACGGACCACGGACCCCUGUCUUUCUGCUCCAAGCUCCAACCCCCCAGAGCCAUCGCCUGCAUCACAACACAGCCAUUCAGACACUUUGGUGACACAUGCAUGUGCACACACGCAGUGAGUAUGAGUAAACCAAGUGUGUUUGUAUGUGCACAUGAAUGUGUUUACCAUGUGUGUACACGCGAGUGUAUAUGUUAAAGAGAACAGCACGGCCUCAGUGGCUUCCUUUGACCACGGUCACGCGUCAUGGAGGUUGCACAGAACCUUCGUUGUAGAGCUCUUUCGUGUUUUCAGCAUAAGUCUCUGGAGAACAACCCAAAACAUGACCUCUUUCUUCUGACAGUUGAGUGUGUGUCUGUGUUUGAUUGAUUGUCCAUGUUCUUUAUGAGAGUGAAUGCUCCUUUAAAGCAGCAAAACCCUAAAAGCUUUCUGUCAUAUGAUGUCUGUAUAUCAGUUUGCAAGAAAUGUAGAUUAGAGAAACUGCUUAUGUAAGUAUUUUGAUUCUGAGUUCAAAGAUGUGGCUUCUUACUCCAACGCUCAUUUCUUUUGAAUCAGGUCUUGCCGCUGCAUCUAAAAUCUUCAUAGUCAAUCAAAGUCUUCAUCCUACAUAGAAUCCUUUUAAAUUCUGUCUUUUUAUAUUGCUUUGUGUUCCUUUCAUAUCGUUUCUUGCUUUUAUUAUGCAGAGCCCUUUGAAUUGCCUUGCUGUUCAAA